UGGGGAAUAUUGGACAAUGGGCGCAAGCCUGAUCCAGCCAUGCCGCGUGAGUGAUGAAGGCCUUAGGGUUGUAAAGCUCUUUCGCCGACGAAGAUAAUGACGGUAGUCGGAGAAGAAGCCCCGGCUAACUUCGUGCCAGCAGCCGCGGUAAUACGAAGGGGGCUAGCGUUGUUCGGAAUCACUGGGCGUAAAGCGCACGUAGGCGGAUUGUUAAGUCAGGGGUGAAAGCCUGGAGCUCAACUCCAGAACUGCCCUUGAUACUGGCAAUCUCGAGUCCGGAAGAGGUAAGUGGAACUGCGAGUGUAGAGGUGAAAUUCGUAGAUAUUCGCAAGAACACCAGUGGCGAAGGCGGCUUACUGGUCCGGUACUGACGCUGAGGUGCGAAAAGCGUGGGGGAGCAAAACAGGAUUAGAUACCCCUGGUAGUCCACGCCCGUAAAACGAUGGAGGCUAGCCGUUGGCGAGCAUGCUCGUCAGUGGCGCAGCUAACGCAUUAAGCCUCCCGCCUGGGGGAGUAACGGUCGCAAGAUUAAAAACUU
rnacentral:rRNA from 1 species